AGAGUUUGAUCAUGGCUCAGAACGAACGCUGGCGGCAUGCCUAACACAUGCAAGUCGAGCGAGACCUUCGGGUCUAGUGGCGCACGGGUGCGUAACGCGUGGGAAUCUGCCCUUGGGUUCGGAAUAACAGCGAGAAAUUGCUGCUAAUACCGGAUGAUGACGUAAGUCCAAAGAUUUAUCGCCCAAGGAUGAGCCCGCGUAGGAUUAGCUAGUUGGUGAGGUAAAGGCUCACCAAGGCGACGAUCCUUAGCUGGUCUGAGAGGAUGAUCAGCCACACUGGGACUGAGACACGGCCCGACUCCUACGGGAGGCAGCAGUAAGGAAUAUUGGUCAAUGGACGCAAGUCUGAACCAGCCAUGCCGCGUGGAGGAUGAAGGCCCUCUGGGUUGUAAACUUCUUUUCUUUGGGACGAACCCCCUGUUUCUACGGGGACUGACGGUACCAGAGGAAUAAGCACCGGCUAACUCCGUG
rnacentral:rRNA from 1 species